rnacentral:rRNA from 1 species
UACGAAGGGGGCUAGCGUUGCUCGGAAUGACUGGGCGUAAAGGGCGCGUAGGCGGUGUAUGUAGUCAGAUGUGAAAUUCCUGGGCUCAACCUGGGGACUGCAUUUGAUACGCGUACGCUUGAGUGUGGAAGAGGGUCGUGGAAUUCCCAGUGUAGAGGUGAAAUUCGUAGAUAUUGGGAAGAACACCGGUGGCGAAGGCGGCGACCUGGUCCAUAACUGACGCUGAGGCGCGAAAGCGUGGGGAGCAAACAGG